AGUGAACGCUGGCGGUAGGCCUAACACAUGCAAGUCGAACGGCAGCACAGAGGAGCUUGCUCCUUGGGUGGCGAGUGGCGGACGGGUGAGGAAUACAUCGGAAUCUACUCUGUCGUGGGGGAUAACGUAGGGAAACUUACGCUAAUACCGCAUACGACCUACGGGUGAAAGCAGGGGACCUUCGGGCCUUGCGCGAUUGAAUGAGCCGAUGUCGGAUUAGCUAGUUGGCGGGGUAAAGGCACACCAAGGCGACGAUCCGUAGCUGGUCUGAGAGGAUGAUCAGCAAAAAUGGAACUGAGACACGGUCCAGACUCCUCAGGGAGGCAGCAGUGGGGAAUAUUGGACAAUGGGCGCAAGCCUGAUCCAGCCAUACCGCGUGGGUGAAGAAGGCCUUCGGGUUGUAAAGCCCUUUUGUUGGGAAAGAAAUCCAGCUGGCUAAUACCCGGUUGGGAUGACGGUACCCAAAGAAUAAGCACCGGCUAACUUCGUGCCAGCCGCCGCAGUAA
rnacentral:rRNA from 1 species